CAGUAGCCACGGUAAAACAGAGGGUGCGAGCGUUAAUCGGAUUUACUGGGCGUAAAGCGUGCGUAGGCGGCUUUUUAAGUCGGAUGUGAAAUCCCUGAGCUUAACUUAGGAAUUGCAUUCGAUACUGGGAAGCUAGAGUAUGGGAGAGGAUGGUAGAAUUCCAGGUGUAGCGGUGAAAUGCGUAGAGAUCUGGAGGAAUACCGAUGGCGAAGGCAGCCAUCUGGCCUAAUACUGACGCUGAGGUAUGAAAGCAUGGGGAGCAAACAGGAUUAGAUACCCGAGUAGUCCCUGUCUCUUAUAC
rnacentral:rRNA from 1 species